UACGUAGGGCGCGAGCGUUGUCCGGAAUCAUUGGGCGUAAAGAGCUCGUAGGCGGCCUGUCGCGUCUGCUGUGAAAUCCCGGGGCUUAACCCCGGGCGUGCAGUGGAUACGGGCUGGCUGGAGGCAGGCAGGGGAGAACGGAAUUCCCGGUGUAGCGGUGAAAUGCGCAGAUAUCGGGAGGAGCACCGGUGGCGAAGGCGGUUCUCUGGGCCUGUACUGACGCUGAGGAGCGAAAGCGUGGGGAGCGAACAGG
rnacentral:rRNA from 1 species